rnacentral:sRNA from 1 species
UCCACAAGUAAUGAAAUUGUGUUUUAAAUUGAUUGAUCUAGACUGGUGAGUUGAAAUGAUUAUCAGUCCCAAAUGCCACUUUAAACAGAUUAAGGUUUUUCUAUGAGAGAGAAUAAGAUACGUUGUUCUUAUUUUUAUUUUUUCUGUUUUAAAAUUCAUUCUUGGGUGCCACACCAUAGAGAAAAGAAAGUUACAAUCAAAAGGAUCCAGGGUUCAGAAGGGGGUUAAAGAGAAUGAAGAUGGUGAAUUGAUCAUUCCAAAUACUCCCCUAACUGUGUUAUAAGCUGAUCCUGACCUUGUUAAGGAACAUCAGGGAGGUAUACAUACAUUGACUUUAUCUUAUUAUUCUUUUUACUUGUAUUUUACUAUCCUUUUUGUUUUGAAGAUCAUAUGUAUGCUUACUGCUGUUAUAUAUCAACUAUUGACAUUCAUGUACCAGUCUGCCUUGGAAAAAAGGAUUACCCGGCAUGGUGAGAGCAG